UACGUAGGUGGCAAGCGUUGUCCGGAUUUACUGGGCGUAAAGGAUGUGUAGGCGGAUAUUUAAGUGAGAUGUGAAAUCCCCGGGCUUAACUUGGGGGCUGCAUUUCAAACUGGAUGUCUAGAGUGCAGGAGAGGAAAGCAGAAUUCCUAGUGUAGCGGUGAAAUGCGUAGAGAUUAGGAAGAAUACCAGUGGCGAAGGCGGCUUUCUGGACUGUAACUGACGCUGAGGCAUGAAAGCGUGGGGAGCAAAC
rnacentral:rRNA from 1 species